UAUCAUCAAUCCCCUCGGGUUCGCGCCCGUUGCGGUUUGGCGUUGGGGGUUUUGCUGCCGUGAGGCGGCUCCCCUUAAAAUCAUCGGUUUGGCCCGUAUCAUGCGGCUAGCACCUUUGGCGUUGUAUUUUCCUCGCCUUCGAUCGGUCUUGCUCGCUUCCGCGCCUCACUUAGACUUGCCCUCUGGGUGGCGGUCACUUCUUGACA
rnacentral:misc_RNA from 1 species